AAGCCAUCCAUAAGCGCAGAAUGGUAGAGGAGUCCCACAGGGGCGACUUGAGAUCACAUGUGUGCACUCUCACCACAACCUAGAGUGAGAGUGAUGGUGUUAUUUUGCAUUACACGUGUUCUCAGGUCGCCCCUGCGGGGCUUCCUCUACCACAUAAUCGCGCUUAUAAAAUGAUAAGAUGAGCAAUGUAGAGAUGUAUGCAAGUUCCUAGCAUAAGCCAGCCACAACGGGUAGAGGAGUCCCAUAGGAGUGACCUGAGACCACAUGUGAACACCCUCACCACAAUCCUGAAGUGAGAGUACCUAAUCGUGUGUUCUCAGGUCGCCCCUGUAGGACUUUCCUUUACCACAUAACCGCAGCGAUUUGGUGAGAUGAGCAAUAUACAGAUGUAGCAAGUGACAGGUGCAAGGUUGCGGAUCUAUAGUGAGAUUGGAGGUGUAUAAUGAGUUGAUGCAGGGGAGGGGAGUCAAUGCAGCAACAUUCCACUGAAUUCUACAAUAACUCAAACUUCAGUGAUAGACAAUAGGCUUAUGAUUGCAAAGAGAUACAAAUUCAAGAGAAUGAUUCAUUUGCGGAGAUGAAAUGGAAAGUUGUAGAACUCACCUCUUCCUUGCCCACAAGCACUGUUUGCACUUCAAUAUCAGUGAUAGGCACAUUCAUUUUGUCCAGAAUAGAUGGGCCCAAGACUGAAGAUACCGGACUUACAAUAAGAUUGUCAGUCACCACAAAUAGUGCUGGUCCUUUUAAGAAUCCUUGAUCACUGUCUUCACCAGAAGGGGAUUUUGGGUCCACGAUUUCAGCUGCCGCAAUAUGAAAUGUGGCCGUUCCAAUACCUAAAGGAUGGUUCUGGUAGCAAAAUCCUGGGGGAAGCUUGGGAUUAACUAGUACUUCCUUAGAGUAUCUAGACUUCAAGAGCUGCUGAUCAAGAUCCCGGACACUUUUGUACAGGUGAUCAAUGCAUCCCUUCAAAGUACCAAGCCGCAUUUGUUUUAACAAAAAUCCAAGUGGAAGAACUAGGAAGCUGAAAAGCAAAUUAACAAAAUCUUCCUCUGCUUCUGCAUAGCAAAUCACCUUCUUCGAUUUGCUUAGUAUAAGCUUCAAAGUAAUGUUUGCUUCAUCAUUCACUGUGUCUUCUACUCUUGCAGAAUAGUAAUCUACACAUAUUGGUUGGUUACUGAUAUUUUUAUUCAA